CAAAAACAUCGCCUCUUGAAAUACAACUAUAAGAGGUCCCGCCUGCCCUGUGACCAUAAGUUUAACGGCCGCGGUAUUUUGACCGUGCAAAGGUAGCGCAAUCACUUGUCUUUUAAAUGAGGACCUGUAUGAAUGGCUUAACGAGGGCUUAACUGUCUCCUUUCCCCAGUCAAUGAAAUUGAUCCCCCCGUGCGGAAGCGGGGAUACUUACAUAAGACGAGAAGACCCUGUGGAGCUUUAGACACUAAGCCAGACCACGCCAAAUACCCCCCCCCCAAAGGACUGAACCUGCUGGACCCCUGCCCUGAUGUCUUUGGUUGGGGCGACCUCGGGGGAACAAAAAGCCCCCACGUGGAACAGGAGCACCCCACUCCCAAAAUCAAGAGCCACAGCUCAAACUAACAGAAUUUCUGACCAACUACAGAUCCGGCCUUACGCCGAUCAACGGACCUAGUUACCCCAGGGAUAACAGCGCAAUCCCCUUUUAGAGCCCAUAUCGACAAGGGGGUUUACGACCUCGAUGUUGGAUCAGGACAUCCUAAUGGUGCAGCCGCUAUUAAGGGUUCGUUUGUUCAACGAUUAAAGUCCUACGUGAUCUGA
rnacentral:rRNA from 1 species